GUUUAAGGGAUCCUCCUCUGGGGUUUGUUUGUACUCGAUAUUUUUACUUUUUCAGUUAACUUGAAGCAGACAAACCCAUAAUGCCAGGACACAGAGGACCCUCACUGCUCUGCCCUGCUGGCCUAAGAUGCGGAAUAUGGAACAUUCCUGUUGGAACAAAGCUCAGAAAGAAUUGUUGUAUCCCUACACUGAAGGAAAGGAUGCCCACUCUGCUGUGUCGCUCACAGAGUGGACUGACUUUUAGUCACACAGCUGCAUGUGGACAGUGGGUUUGCACUCAAGUCUUGUCUUGAAUUGACAAGAGAAGUUACACACUGCUACUUCAGACCAGUGAAGCUGGUUUGCAAAGCCUGGACACCAGCUGAGCUGCCAAAGGAAAUGGUUGAAACAAGAUGACUAUGGUAUUGGCUUUGUUUUUAAAUGGAUUGUUUUAUUUUGUUACAUGUAGAAGGCAAGUUUAGGGGACAGCUGUGCCAGGAAAAUGUGGAGCUGUGAAGGCAAGGACAGAUGGAACAUCUAGAAGACUGCUCUGAGGCCAGGUCUUCCCUAUAAACUGACAUUAGUAUAACUACAUCGCUCAGGGGUGGGAAAAACCCACACCCCGGAGCAAUGCAGUUAUUCCGACCUAACCACCAGUGUAGACAGUGCCAUGUCAACAGACAUAGCUGCCGCCUCUAUCAGAGUAGUAGCAUCUUCACUGAAGCGUGGUGCAGCUGUGCCACUGCAGCGUUUUAAGUGUAGCACUGCCCGGAACGAUGGCACCUAAGGGACAGCAAAUUCGUGGACAUGAAAUUUGAUGCCUAAAAGAGAAUUUGAUUCUUCUAUUCUCCCCAUCAGACUCAAAGCAUCCAAGAGACCAAAUGAGGAAAAGAGAGAGGAGACUCAAAAUAACAUCCUGAGCUCUUUAAAAUCAAACACAAAAGGCAUAUUCUGCUUUGGGACGGACCAGUGACACCCAAUGAAAUUAAAUGAGAGCAGUAUCUGAGUCAAAGAGUUCAAGAGAGGAAUAUGAAGCGAAUUAGCACCAAAGUGCACAGUUAAAAUGCUUUAGUCCCCCCAAAAUAUUCUAGACUCUAAAGCCCAAACUGCCCUUUUGCUGACAACAGUUGUCAACAACACGUUACAAUUGACCUGUUCUGUAACCAGUGUAACUGCUGGUUUGGAUGGGACAAAACUACUUUCAGCACCAUUGCAGGAAGUUUUCUUGAAGUGUGGUACCCUUGUUUUGUCUCAUCUGUGCUAGUGGUAGAACUGUUGGGCACAGGUUCAGCAGGACUGGUUACUAACAACUGUGGUCAACAACAGGUCAACUUACUUCAGAGAAAAAGCAAUGGAAAAUGAUGGCUGGGAUGUAUCUUCCAAUUCUUCCCAGAGACCAAGGAAGGAAAGGGCUAUUUUUAAAUGCCUUUUUUACUCAGAGAGAUAAACAAAGGAAAACUUCACCUUUCAAAGCAUUUCCUUGUUCAUUUAUUUUGCAUCUUAUCAACUCUGAAUGAGGCCACUCGAGAAUAAAAGACGUUCCAUAGCUAUAGUAAAAUGAAGGUUAACUGAAUUUGUUGUACCUUCCCAACACCAAUCCUUAAAUUAUUUUUUUCUUUUAGAAUAAACCAGGAGCCAUGCAGGAAGAGAAAGAAUAAUGAUAUAUGGUUCUUCUGAGUCUGGGAUAAAGAUCCAUGAUCAGAGACUUGCACAACAUUAACAAGGGCAAGUCACUUUAUGGGAACAAGGCAUGGGACCUCAGCUAGAGCAGCACCUCUGCUGCUUCUUGCUGCUACAGUGGUGGAUUCACACAGUAAAGGCUGACUCAGGGUGGUAGCUUGUGUGUAAUUUACUUCAGUUUUUUGUGAUAAAGUGAGUUACACAAUACUGUACAACUUCUAAAUACGGUGACAUGGUGAUUUGCUUUUUAUGCCUGUCACUGAAGUAUGUCAUUGUUGGCCUAGAUAGCAAAUUAAUACUAGCUGAGGUACCCCAGGGAAUUAGGGGUUGAAUGUCAGUUUCAGAAAACCAGAGAGACUGUUGAAAAAAAUAAAGGGACUAUUAUGACUUCUACCUUGGCUGACUUCUGUGUGGUGAUUUGCCCUGAGCAAUGGCAAAAGCCCUAUAAAGACAACCUUGGGGUAAAAUUCAUCCCUGGGUUGGAGUCCAAUUACUACAAGAGGGACGUAUUUGGGCCUUUAUGUGUGAAUCGUAUUCAACAGUAGAGAUGCAGAGGUAUAGAAAAAGAUGGAGGGGUCUGCAUCCUGUGAUUCACUGUUCACAGGAGAGUAAAAAUUAAGGUGUAUGUCCCUGCUCAUCUCCCCCAGCAGCUGUGCCAAUAAUAUCAUCAAUUGCCUAUUGUCCUUUCCUCUGCCAUUUAAUGAACUAGUGAAAGGCCAAGACUUGUUGCAUUGCCAACAAGAAUGCAGAAAACUUGCAGCAAGCAAACCUGUCUCAUUCUCAAGCUUCAUAGUAGGUCCUGAGCCUGAAAUGACUUGUGCACAUGCUUAAUUUUAAGGACUCUGAGUAGUCCCAUUGAGAUCAAUGGAUCGACAAUCAGCACAUACAGUUAAGGACAUAUGUAAGUCACUGCAGGAUUGGGGCCUUGGAAAAGAGGUUGGAAAGGGGGUCCAUUAGAGAGAGUCUGCAGCAUAAUUAAGAUUUUUUCCUUUAUGCCCUGAUCUUCCCAUUCCUUUAUAAUUCACUUUUGGUGUUAGCUAAGUUUGUCACAGUCCUAGGUUAAAAUCUAUGACAUUUUUACAAAUACAUCUGCUCACUGGGGGCCUGAUCCUGCAUACAAGGUUGCAUUUCUCAGGAUCAGGCUCUGCAGUAUUCCAAAUGUACCCAGCUCUGCUUUAUAGUCUGCUACAAAAUGUGGUAUUUCAGGGUCUGAUCCUGUGCCCAUUGAGAUCAAUAGCAAAGCUCCCAUUUAAUUCAGUGAUGCAGGAUCAGACUCUAGGUGGGUUUCUAAUAACUAUAAAAGGCACCUGAAAAUAAAGGACCUUUUCAUUGCACAAGGAAGCAAAAAUGUUGGGUUUUCCUCCUUUAUUGAACUUUGGCAAAUCAUGUGUGUGUGGUUUUUUACAUCAAUAGCUAUAAAUAAAAAUUUGAAAAUUAUACAGUAUUUGUUAUUAAGAUAAAGGACAUCUAUUGGCACAAAUCAUUGAGUAAAAACCUUUAAUAAUAAAAUAACAUUCACUCUGUAGCUACUUUAUUUGUCUGGAAAACUCAGCUUACACUCAAUUCAACAUAUCACCUCCACAAAGUUAAAAAAAAUGACAUAAAAUGGCAUAAUAAAAUAUACCUUAAAUUUCAUAAUACAAGUACCUUGGCAAAUCUUAGUAAGCUGGACCAUCUACUGUUUGUUAUAAACAGUAAUGGACAUUGUCAUUGUCUCACAUACCUCUUGUUUCCUUUGGAUUGAAAAAUUAAUUUGAACUUAAUGUAUAGAUAUUAUAAUAACUGCAUUAAGCAGGAAUAGUUUGUGGAUCUGUUAGCAUGAGUUGAAUUUACUGAAACAAAUAUUGAUUCUGUUUAUUGCGGAAGAACAUAUAAAGCUUUCUGGAAGAUUAAACACUAUUACAAUCAUUAACUGUCUUACAAAAAAACCUAUUUAAAAUUCUUGUAUCCAUUAUCAUCUUUGGCAGAUAAAUAAGGGGAAAAAAUAAACAGACUAUAUUACAAAGCUUCCAUUAUCACAAUCUACUUCAUAAGGCCAAAUAAAAAUAUGUUUCUUUGCACUAAUGAAAGCACAUCUCCAAUAUAUUCUUAAUGCCAGAUAAUAUAAACAUUGUACAGAUGUUAAAUUUAGAUGUUGUGUAUAGUAGAUUGCCGAUUUUACACCUUCUAUUUCCUAAAUUGCACUCUCCUAUGCAAAGUAAAGUGUAUUUAGUAGUUGAUUUGGCUUUACCUUUAGCAUGAUCAAUGAGUUAGGUUUAUGUAAAAGUUUGCAAGUGGGUGAGUGAACCCAAAUAUAAAAAACACUAAAUUUGCCAAUACCAAAUAGUGCUACUAUAAAAUUAGUUUUUGUGGGUUCUUGAAGGAUAGAUUAGUUUAGGAUAUAGAGAUAAUUUUAAAUUGGGUACAAAAUAUUUUAUUAAAUACUAACCGUAAACUGAGGGAAAUGAGGGUUGGGUGUAUCCUAAACGGACUGAACAAAAAAGAGCUUCAGUAUUUUUUCAGUAAGAUUCAAAUAAAGCCAAUGUAUGCACUUCAGACUAGAGAGAGAUGUGAAAUACAGUUGCAUAGGCAAGACACAUGGGUGGGGAUUCUAACUAUGUUUUUUAGACUGAAUCAUUGAGGCAGUCUGAAUUGUUGUUCUACAUUAGAUCUGCUAAUACUGAAACUUUUGGUUCAUGCUGAAUGCUGACUUAUUAUAAAAUACAAGAAGAAACCAAGCACAAAAAGAAUUAGAAUGGUUAUUCCCAGGAAGAUCAGUGAAAGAGGUCUGGAAUUUUUAUGAAGCUCCAUAAUAUCUACAUUUACAUUUGAGGGUAUUACAUGUUAUGUCUAAGGUUUCCGCCAUAAAGCCAAAAUAACUCCUUUUAUUUUUGGAAAAAAUGCACAGUUGACUCAAUUUUGAAUAAGAUGUAUUUUUAAAUGACCCACUCAUAAAUUAAAUUUAUUGGCCACGGGGAACUGCCAAUUGGUCAAACUUUGCUUUGAAUAAAAUUUCUUGUUUUAUAACUGGAAUCCAAUUUGAUUUUGUUUUUUCUUAAACAUGGACUGAGCAGGAUAGAGUUGAAUACUGAUGUAACUUCUCCUAUAAACAAGUAUUUCAACUGCAUGAGGCAGACCUGUGCAUGUUUUCACAGUUUAAAUGUAUACACAAUUGUUCCACAACUGCUAACAGAUAACAGGCUCCCAUGCAUAAAUUCCAUUAAACCAAGGGUUAAGGUCUAUUUCUGAACGGAAAAAAAAAGUUGCCAUUAAGAACCACAAUGCAUCACACUGCUAAACUUUUUUUGCCUCAUGCAUACAAAUUAUAGCACUGAUUGGCAGUUGCUAAUUAUAAUACUACACUGUAACACAGAACAAUUAGUUGUUCAGACCAAGUAGCACAAAUGUAGAAAAUAAUCCUUUUUUUUUUCAACAGAGCAAAUUAACACAGUUUGUUUCUUCAGCAAAAUAUGAAACUGUAAACUUUGGGCUCAUUCUGCAACUUUCCCCAAUCCAGAAUAAAUAAAAAUCCAAAGGGAAAAAAGACGGACGUACAUUAUUUUAGCGCACCUUUUUUGUCUAUUACAAAAGCACAACCUAAAACGUAUAAAGCUUUUUUUUCUUUAAAUCACAGGUACCAAAAAGAAACAGUGAAUAAUUUAUUACAUACGCUAUAAUAACAUUACUCUAAACACUAUUAUCUAUGAGGUAUAUCUGAGAAAAUUCGGUAAGGAAUUGCGCGGUCUGCGUUGCCAACAUGCCCAGUUUUAUAUUAAAGCUUUGGAACCGUGAAGAAAUAGAAAAGGAGGAGGAGGAGGAGAAGGAGGAAGAAGAAGAAGAAGAAGCAGCAGAAGAAGAACCUUUGGUAUUAUUACAAAUAUUGUUCUUUGUGGGGUUGCAUUGCAAAGCACCACAGUACAAUAAGCCCACCAGGUACGGUAUGGCGGCCCAGUUGAAGCUGAGGUAUUCACAGGAAGAAUUAAAAAAGCACAGAGAGGUCUAGACUGGCAAAAUCGUUGCUUUGGUUCAAGGAAGGCACUCGUCCCGUGGUAAUGUCACACUUUGCAAGUGAAGCAUGAGUCUGGUAAGAAAUGCAAUUGCUGUAGGGGAUCUUGCCAAUUCGGACUAUUUUCUGUGUUCAAACUGUCAAUGGUCUUAGAUGUACGCUGGGAGGUGAAAGGGGAUGGUAUAGGAUGGAAGAUUUCACUUAACACAAGGAAUAUAUCAUCUCCUCCAUACCUAGAAGGAAUCCUGAGAAUUAUUAUAGCUCCAUAUUGAAGGUGGACAGAUAGAUACAAACAGAUAUCAAAAGCACACGUAUCAAGCCACUGUCUUUUCCAAGAAAAAAAAGACUUGUUAUUUUUUUUGAGGGGGGAGGAAGCAAGUUUAAUACGAAAAUGGAGCUUUUGGGUUGAGCUGAUGAUGAAAAUAAUUUGAAUCAACAAUGCACUGCUGAUGCAAACACCUUAUUGUAAAGCUUAAAUAUCACUAUAAUAUAUGCAAGUGUAUUAGACUAUUACAUAGUUUUAUGUCCCUGAUCCUAGCAGACAUAUCUGCCUGAGUGGAGUCCCACUGAACCCAGUGAGACUCUGCAUGGGUACAAUCCUUGUUACAGAACCAGGGCCUUUGUAUCUUUGCAGGGCUGGAUUCUCCUUCGAUUGAGGAGUUUUCUAUGUCACUGGGAGCAGGAGCAGGCCCUAGCUUCUACAGGCCAGAGAGCAAACUCAGUUACUCGUGUAACUGAACUCAGAGUCUGGAUAUACUUCUCUACAAAUCUUCUGUGUAUGUUGGCACAAUCUUGCUCUCUUUACUCAGGCAAAACUCCCAUUGAAGUCAAUGGGAUUGUGCAGGGUCCAAGUGAAUGCAAAAUUGGGCCCCCUAUGUCUAAACCUAUUUGAUAUAAACCUGUGAAGUGUUAAACACUGUAUACAGAAAGUAAACGAUGCUGAUGCAUGGAUUUUAAUAGUCAUUCAAUCAUAUAACAGGCUAAAAGAAACAAGCACAAAAGGGCACUAUUUAUUCCCUGAUGACAAAAAGAGGCAAACAACUGUUAAGUAAUCACUUAGGAGCAUCUUACUAAUGGAGCAUAAUGUGUCUUCAUUUCUCUGCUAACCGGAGAAAAAAUAAUUAACUCAACAGAUGAGACUGUGACAAAAUGUAAUUGUAAAAAAGAAAAAAAAUGAGAAAGCAGCCUUUGUUUCUCUCAUAUCUAAUAUGUUGAUUAGAAUCUCAGGGCUUGUUUCUGAUCUUUGGUUCACUGGCGUAAAGUCUCAGUAAUUCCAUGCCUUCCUGAGAGAUAUCCAGAUUUACACUGGGGCUCUUCAGAUAAGACUCUGGUCCAGAGGAUUUACUGUACUAGGUUUGACCUUUGAUUCACUGACAUAUGUCUACACUGCAGUUGGGAGAUGUGAUUGCAGCACAUGUAGACAUAAAAAAGCAGUGAAUCUGUGGCACGCUCAACAGCUCUGCUCAGUUAUGUGCCUUGGGCAGCUGGCAUUAGCUAUGCAGUCAACUGGGCUGCCCUGGCUUCAUUGCUACUCAAGUUAGCUUGAGGAAAGCUAGCUUGGGUAUGUCAACACAUGCUGUAAUCACACCUCCUAACUGCAGUGUAAACAUACCCUAAUUAAUCUGGUAUUUUGCUUCUUGCAGCACCCAAUGCCUGAUGUUUUAGAGGAAGUAAAAAAUAAAUAAAUCCCAUAAUGCACACAGUCAUAUGUGCAACGCUUUACAUAGGGCAGCAAUUACUUCCUGACCUCUCUACCAUCCACUAAAAAUAGUGCUGUACUUCACAGAAUCUGGCUUUAUGUGAAUUAGAGAUAUUUGUGUGAGUUUGCAGGAUUGAGCCCCACGUAUAUCAUUCCCACUGAAGUCAAUGGAAGCCCUGUGUAUGGAGCAUCUACUA